CGAAGGAGUGCAUAAUCGGGAAUUGGGAGUGAGGAAAUGGGAAAUUGGUGGAAUUGGGAAAUAGUUUGUGUGUUUAUUUAAGCUUUAUGGGAUUUAAGAAUGGAAGAAAAUCUAGGCACCGACCAGUGGGUCACGGUUUGGUUAUUUUUGAAGAGGGUAGCAUUGGCAAUUUUUCUAUGGGUAUUAAACAGAUUGUACUUUGCCAUUUAUAAAGAGCUCUAUUCUUGUUUUCGGUUUUGGAUAAAUCCCUCCAUCGCUGUUAAACACAUAUACGAGUUUACAAACAAAAUUUAAAAGGUCAAUGUUGACAUUUAAAGUCUUUAUUUGAUGCUUUUUAGAUCAAGCAUGUUUAUUAUUUAUCUAGUGACAUUUUGUUUGUUUUC